AUGGCAGUGAAAGGAGUCCUGCAGCUCUUCGGACGCGCGUCGGGCCUCCAGGUGAACUUCCUGAAGAGCUCUGCCACACUCGUCUGCUGCGACGCCGACGACGUGGCGCCCAUAAUCGACGCACUUGGCUGCCCCAUCGUGGACCUGCCUAUCACAUAUCUUGGCAUCCCGCUCACGAUCAAGCGCACAUCCGCUGCCCUGCUCCAACCCGUGGUUGACAAAACUGCUGGCAUGCUGCCUACCUGGAAGGCGCGCCUCAUGAACAAGGCUGGCCGCCUUGCUUUUGUCAAGGCCGUGCUCAGCGCCAUCCCCAUCCACCAGCUGCUGGCGCUAGCACCACCGAAGCGGAUCAUCAAGGCGCUGGAGAAGAUACAGAGGGGAUUCCUUUGA
rnacentral:rRNA from 1 species